CACGUAGGGGGCGAGCGUUGUCCGGAUUCAUUGGGCGUAAAGAGCUCGUAGGCGGUGUGUCGCGUCGGCCGUGAAAACCUGCAGCUUAACUGUGGGCUUGCGGUCGAUACGGGCAUCACUGGAGUUCGGCAGGGGAGACUGGAAUUCCUGGUGUAGCGGUGAAAUGCGCAGAUAUCAGGAGGAACACCGGUGGCGAAGGCGGGUCUCUGGGCCGAUACUGACGCUGAGGAGCGAAAGCGUGGGUAGCAAACAGG
rnacentral:rRNA from 1 species